rnacentral:snRNA from 1 species
ACUUUGAAUCAAAAAUUUAAACUAUUAUAAUAAAUUGUGAUUCUACUUUUAUCUAUUCUUUCGCGUUUUACUAAAGAAUACCAUUCUAAAAAGGAUUAUUUUUUAAACCUU